rnacentral:misc_RNA from 1 species
UCGGAAGGUGCGGCUGGAUCACCUCCUUUCUAAGGAAAUAGAUUAACAUGAUGUUUCCCUGUUUUGUUUAGUUUUGAAAGAGCAAUCUUUCAAACAAUAGUUAGAUGAAAGUUUUUUUCUUUCUCUAUCAUUCGUUCUUUGAAAACUAGAUAACAAGUAAGAAGGCAAAGUAAAAUUUUGCGUCAAAAUAACACUUAGAAAUAAGUAAUUCCUGAAUUCGAGCAAUCGAAGGAAGGUAACUAACCAAACUUGGUUAAGUUAGAAAGGGCGCAC